GUAGGGAAUAUUGCAAAAUGGGCGAAAGCCCGAUGCAGCAACGCCGCGUGGGCGAUGAAGGCCUUCGGGUCGUAAAGCCCUUUUUGAGGGGAUGAGGAAGGACAGUACCCUCAGAAUAAGCCUCGGCUAACUACGUGCCAGCAGCCGCGGUAAAACGUAGGAGGCGAGCGUUAUCCGGAUUUACUGGGCGUAAAGCGCGUGCAGGCGGACAGGAAAGUUGGAUGUGAAAGCUCCCGGCUUAACUGGGAGAGGUCGUUCAAAACUACCCGUCUAGAGGGCUAUAGAGGGAAGCGGAAUUCCGGGUGUAGUGGUGAAAUGCGUAGAUAUCCGGAGGAACACCAGUGGCGAAAGCGGCUUCCUGGGUAGCAUCUGACGCUCAGACGCGAAAGCUAGGGUAGCAAACGGGAUUAGAAACCCCGGUAGUCC
rnacentral:rRNA from 1 species